GCUUUCUAAACUAAAAAAAAAUUAUCGCCGUCAUGCCGAAAGAUGGCGCAGUUUUUUGUUUUGUUUUCAUUUUCGAAUCAUCAAAUCGAAUUAAAUUUUUUUCCACUUUCCUCAUCAUCCUGAUGAAUUGUAUGAUCAAUUACCAUCGGAUGUCUUCAAAUAUUGUCAUUUGCGUGCGGUUAAAGACAGCAGAGAAAAAAAUUCAAAGGGAAUCAAGCUUCGCUGAACACCAACGGUCAAUCUCGAGUGUGGUUGAUCAUCAUCAUCAUCAUCAUUAUUGUUUGUGUGUGAGAAAAUCUGAUUACCAUGGUCAAUAAUUAUCCACUUGGUCUAAUCGUGUGUUAUCAAUGGAAAAAUGGAGUAAAAAAAACAUAUCGGUAGUCAUUCUAACUGGAUGUGAAUUAACACACAACGACACAAUACCGACAUGAAUGAAUUUAAAAACAAAGUUUCAUAUUUCCAUUCUCAAAAAAAGAAACGACCAAAUUUUUUUCUUGCUCUUAUCAACAUUAAAAAUGUAUAUAAUAUAAUGAUUAUGUUUAUCCAUUCACAUAAUCAUCCUAAUCAUAAUAAUCAAUUGGAUAUGAAAUGGAUACAUUUGAAUUUCCUGGAUAUAAAUCACAAAACUGAACAGUUACAAUUUUCUGUAAAGCAGCAACAAAUGAAGAACAAUCAAAAUACCUCGAGUCAGCAAUAAAACGAAUGAAUUAAUUGUCCACAUAAAUUUCCAAUCAUCGAAGUCGGAAAUCAUCAAAAAACCCAAGAAUCCACCAAAAAAAAAACGGCCUCGUUCAUUAUUGAUGAUAACAAUAAUGGGAAAAAAAUGCGGAUGAUCAACCAAAAAAAAAAAAAAAAAUAAUUUCCAUCAUCAAAGCAAUCGAAAUUUCCAACAUAAACAUAGAACAUCAGCAGACGUUGAUCGACCCAAUUUUUUUUUCUCUUGCUGGGCAGAAAAAAAUGAUCCAGAAAAUUAAAACAAAAUGUCUAUUAUAAUCCAAACAAACAAAUGAACAAACGAACGAACGAACGAACCAAAAAAAAAAAAAAUUCAUGUCUUUUGAUAUCUUGCAUAUCGAAUUUAUUUUUUUUUUCACUCAAUUUUUCUCACUGAUUGUUGUUGUUUACCAUCAUCAUCAUCAUCAUCAUAAUCAUCUGUGCUUAUUAUUAUUAUUAUGAAUGACGAUGAACUUUGAAUGAAGCACAAAGAAGUGAAUUUUUUUUCAAAAAAAAAAAUCCUACCAUGUCAUCAUGAUCAUUCAAUUAAUAAAUCUUCAAAAUGGAUGAUGAUAAUGGUGAUGAUGAUCAUCAUCAUAAUCAUUGUGAUACAAUGUUUGACAAUCGGUUCAUUGACAACAACAACAACAAAAUGAUGACAAUUAUUAAUGAUUCGAUCUUUUUUCAAUCAUAGAUACAAAAUAUUAUUCUAUUCCCGGAAUUUGAUUUAAUGAUUCUAUUAUUCAAUACACAUUAUAUGUCCAUUCAUAGGUCACAGAUCUCAAUAGUGAGAUCAUCGAUCUCAUCAAAAUCAUCUGAUUAAACAUAACGAACAUUGAUCCUAUUCGAUUAGAUUUGAUGAUGAUGAUGAUGA